UACGGAGGGGGCUAGCGUUGUUCGGAAUUACUGGGCGUAAAGGGCGCGUAGGCGGCGCGAUAAGUUGGGCGUGAAAGGCCCGGGCUCAACCCGGGGACUGCGCUUGAUACUGUCGCGCUGUGAGUCCGGGAGAGGAUGGCGGAAUUCCCAGUGUAGAGGUGAAAUUCGUAGAUAUUGGGAAGAACACCGGUGGCGAAGGCGGCCAUCUGGACCGGCACUGACGCUGAGGCGCGGAAAGC
rnacentral:rRNA from 1 species